GGGAUGAUGAGCAGCCGCACUGACAGCAGCAUCUCCGCUCUGUCGCCCUGAGCCUGUCAGCAGUCACUGGGAACCGGCCGGGACACCGCCAGCCUGACUUCAUUAGCAGUCCGGGUCUGACCACCAGCGCGUGCUGCUGAGCCAUAUUGCCAAACGGUGGAGAGUUUGCUGACCUACUUCGAGACAAAAGUUCCCGCUUCACAAACAAUUUGGUGAAGUUGCUGAAGACCGUAGUUCAUUUUAAACAUUUUAUAUCAACGCGUUUUGCAGCUGAGGCGGAGGAGACGACACCAAAGUACAUCGGACACCAGAGAGAGGAAUUAGGAAGAAUCUGUGGAGUUGAAGUGACCAACGUGGCACCAGUUGCAGACCUCAGACCCACCUCUGAUGUGGUAUGUGACCUGAGUCCAGUUGACCAUGGACCAUGAGCUGAGGAUGGGCCUGUCCGUGUGGGCCAUUGUGGCCAUUGUUUGUAACUCUGUGGUGGGCGUCCUCAUUGUCAUCCUCUUCGUCAUCCUCUACAAGGCCUGCAAAGUGCCUUCACACCAAGAGAAAGUGCCAGUGUUCACAGCAAAGCCGGAGCAGAAGAAGGCAGAACAGAAGUAUCUGCUGACUGCAGCCUGAUCAUGACUUGAAGAGACUGACUUGAGAUGUAGGCAAAAUUCAUCUUUGUCUAUCUAGUAGAGAGCGUACAGAGCGUUAGACCAUCUCAAUUUUGGAUGAUCUUCUUUAUUUCUCUUCCUCUUCAACCACUCUUGUCAAUAUUCUCACUCAGUAACUCCUUUUGUUUUAGAAACUGUUCAGUUAUCUCCAUCAUUUGCCCCUCGUCUAUGCCAUUCAGUGGAGCUCAGAGUGCGCUAACUACGUUAAGAGUUGUGGCAAGACCAACAACAAUAACAACAAGAGGGCCCAAUCCUCUUAUCUCUGCUGUGCAUCACUGGGACUGUCCAUCUGUCAGUGUGUUCGCUUUACACAGGCAGACCAUGAUCUCCCCCUCUACUCCAUUUUUUUUUAUCCCUACAUAUGAGGCAACUGAGAGGAUGUGGAGGAGAAAUAGCAAAAAGACAGUGGAUUGUAACAGGAAUGUUUGGGAUGAAGGGUUUGGUUGAGAGUCAGAACAGCAUGUUAUAGUGAAAAAGAAAAUGUAGCCCUGUAGCUCACAAGUGGCUUUGUGUUUGCUAGCUGCAGCACUAAUGAUGGCAACGUUGGAGCUACAAACAGACGACAGGUAGAUGCUGUGUGAGAGCCAAGACAGUGCAGAGAGGGAGACAGACGGAGAUUUGGUGGGGGAUGAUAAAGGGCAGGGGAAGAAUCAGAGAGAGGAUGCUUUGAUGUGUUGUUUACAGAAAGGGAGCUCGCGGCCCCUGUCUGACAGUUUCCCUAUUUGACACGCAAGUCUCCGCUUCCACCGAUACGACUCAUGGGAUUAAAAGCAACGUCAGAAGUGUUACUGGUGUCCCGGUGUGCCUCUCUUUCAUUUUGUGAGCUCUUCUAAAGACUGAGUAAGAUAUUUGUACACAGCGUUCACCAAAAGUGACAGACUGACUAAACACAGUCUCACAUUAACGAGUGACUUUAUUGAGGUGAAUGUACAGCGGCUAACACACUAACUGUGUAAUAUCAAUAUUGUCUAAAGGAUGGAAGAGAGAUGGGAUACACCAGCAUGAUUUUGGAAAUACAAUUAUGAUUGGUGCAUAUGAAUAUAUGCACCAAUCAUAAUUGUAUUUCCAAAAUCAUCGGAAUAAGUGCUGCAUGCCUGUGCAGCAAUGUAUGAAAAAAUAAAAAAUGCAGAUUUGAUUUUCUGUCCAGCACUUUCUUUUCCACUUAAUUUAAGGGAUAUUUCUGUGCAAUUUACAUUUAAUGAUGAACAGUAAUUUGUCCAGAAAUUCCUACUUGUGUAAUUGAUUUUUCAGUUCAGUUAAAAUCAAUUGUUUGGUAUUUAAUAAAUCAUGUACACAUAUAAGUUACAGCUUCUCAUGUGUGAACUUUUCCUUUCAUAUCUAUGUACAUUGAAUAUCUUGAGUUUUAAAAAAAAGAUGUUCGAAGGCAUCACUUGGGAUUUUGGCAACUUGCAGUGGUCAUUUGUCAAAAUAAACCUUUUUUUUUGCAGCCCUACA